rnacentral:lncRNA from 1 species
GGAUUUGUUCAUUGGCUGAUAAACGGAUCUUUGGGAAGUCGAGAAAGGAUUGGGAACAUAGCGUUGGGGAAGUAGAGGUGUGGAAAUGGUGAAACUUUUAUGACAGUUUUGACAAAGGAUUUGGGAAGUGGGUCGUUUGCUUUGGGCGGAGUGUGUGCAUUGAUUUGAAUUGCCUGUACCUACAUAGAGAUUACUCUGUAGGUGUCUGGCCAGUGAAUAUUGCAUGUACCCGCUUAUGUGGGUGUCCGGCCAAUGAUUUGCAUGUACCUGCAUUGAGAUCACUUUGCAGGUGUCCGGCCAGUUCCCCAGCCACCUGCCUGAUUUUGUCUACACAGGUGGUUAGCCAGUUUUCCCUAUUCCCCGGUUGCCCUCUGGAUAUUGCCUGUACCUACAUCAAGAUUACUCUGUAGGUGUCUGGCCAAUUCCCCAGCCACCUGCCCGAUUUGUCUACAUAGGUGGUUG